AGCCUGGCAAGUGCAAGGUUGAGUUCAGUCCCUGAUAUCAACAUUGGUCAUUGUGGCUAAAGUUGAGACACAAGUCAUGCUUAUAUCCCACAGUAAAUGUAUUACAAUGGUGACACUGAAACCUGUAACAUUU
rnacentral:snoRNA from 1 species